UACAUGGGGUGCAACCGUUGCUCGGAAUUAUUGGGCGUAAAGCGCGCGUAGGCGGUUCUUAAGUCGGAUGUGAAAGCCCUCGGCUUAACUGAGGAAGUGCACCCGAAACUGAGUAGCUAGAGUACGAAAGAGGGUCGCGGAAUUCCCGGUGUAGAGGUGAAAUUCGUAGAUAUCGGGAGGAACACCGGUGGCGAAGGCGGCGACCUGGGUCGAGACUGACGCUGAGGCGCGAAAGCGUGGGGAGCAAACAGG
rnacentral:rRNA from 1 species